rnacentral:tRNA from 1 species
GGUCCCGUAGUGAAAUUCAUGGUGGGUUGCAAGCUCAUCGAUGUGCGUUGAUGUGCACCGGGACUU